GUGUGCCCCUCCUGGGAUGCCUCCUGUGCUGGGCCCAGGACUUGCCUCACACACCCUCCCACGCACACACUUCCCCGCAGUGGGCACCCUAGCUGCGUGCCACCCGCUUGUGCCAUUCCCAGGGUGCUCCCCUCACACAGUCCCCUGCACAUAGUCUCCUGUAGUGUGCCCCUUCUCAGGGUGCCACCUGCCUGUGCCAGUCCCAGGAUAUGCUCCGCACACCCUCCCCCACACACAGUUUCCCGCACACAGUGUGCCCACUUGCAGGGUGCCACUGCCUGUGCCAGUCAAACAAGGCGCAUGUGCUGUCCAGAGCCCACACGGAGAAGGGAGAGAACAGAUUCUCAUAGUCGUUUACUGACCUAUAUACCAAAAACACAGCUUAACGAACUAAUAACAACCUGAAAUGAUUGUGAGUGUGUAAAGGCUCUUCUCACCGGCUGUGCUGGGGCCUCCACACAGCCAGGCUGGCAUCUGAGGAGGAGGAGGAGUCUCUCUGGAAGCUCUGCAGAUGGGUUGGCUCACCCGGGUAUCCCCUGUCUGCCCAGUUCUGCAGGCAUCUUGGGGUGAAGGCUCUGUAGGGAGUCUCCCUAUUUGUUUGUUUCCUUUGGGGUUGUGGGUUGGGAUGGAACCUGGAACUCCUGAAGGCCGAUUUCAAAAGCCAGGAAGGCUGUGGCUGCCCAGGCAGGCUGCUUUCAGAGGCCUUGUUGAGGACUGGUUGGCUUCAGCCAUGCUCCGGUCACUUUUGAGCUUGGAAGGAAAAAGUAGUUCUUUGUGUCUGCAUCUGCUGAGCCCUGUUCUGUCCCUACCAGCCCCAUGCUGAGGCUGUGGCCUUUUCUCCUUCCUCCCUCCUUCCCUGUCUUCCUCCUGCCGCCUUCCCCUCCCUCUCCUUCCCCCUUCCUCGCUCUCCUCUCUCCUGUAUCCCUCUCCCUCGCCUUUUCCUUACUUCUCCAUUCCUCUUCUCUCUCCCUCUACCUUCCCCUCCUUCCUCCUCCUUCUCCCUCCUCUUUCUCUCUCCCUUCCUCUCUCUCUCCAUCCCUCUCCCUCCCUCUCUCUUUCUCUCCCUCCUUUUCCCUCUCCCUCUCCUCUGCACCAGAUGGCUAUGAGCCACCGUGUGAGUCCUGGGACUCGAAUUCAAGACCUCUGGAAUAGCAGCCAGCACUCUCAACCUCUGACCCAUCCCUGCAGCCCCCUGACCUUGAACUUGUAGCCUUCUGGCCUCCACCUUCAGAUAGCCAGGUGUCCAUUUACAAGGUGGACCAGCAGGACAGUCGCAAAUUAUACACCACUGGCAUCAAUGGGGCCAUGAUGAUCUGGGAUUUCAAGGCAACCUGGAAGCCACCAUGGGUGUUAAUAUCCUGAUAGGAGCCACAGGAACCUGGAGGCCACCAUGGGUGUUGAUAUCCUCAUAGGAGCUACAGGUCAAUAGAGUGCGAUUUGUCCCUUUUGUUGGAGCAAGGAAAAUGGCUAUUUUGCUGGACCAGAACUUUUGCACAAAUUCUUGAUGAAUGCUAUUUUUGUUGACCUGGAGGCCAGCAUUGGUGGCUGAUAUCCUGAUAUCACAGGUUGAGACCUGUCCCAGGAGAAUCCAUAUUUACCCACAUGGAAGCCUAUGAGGAGUUCACCAACGAUGGAAUAUACUGGACCUUGCUAUGCCAAGGCUCCAGGAAACUCAGAAGAGACAGAACAAGGAAAAAAAAGAAAAACUACAUCUCUCCUUGUUUAAUGAUGUUUUGGUUGUGACUAAUAACCUAUGAGUAUGUCCCUCAUGCCUGCCAUAGUAUUAGAGGCUACACUUUGAUUAGGCUUUACUGUACAAAAAUAAAAUAGUUUUUUGUUCUGUU